AUUUACAUUAUAUAUGAUAUUUAUUAUAUUUA
rnacentral:tRNA from 1 species